CCUACGGGUGGCUGCAGUGAGGAAUAUUGGUCAAUGGGCGGGAGCCUGAACCAGCCAAGUCGCGUGAGGGAAGACGGUCCUAUGGAUUGUAAACCCCUUUAGGCGGGGAGCAAUGCCGGGCACGCGUGCCCGGAGGGAGAGUACCCGCAGAAUAAGCAUCGGCUAACUCCGUGCCAGCAGCCGCGGUAAUACGGAGGAUGCGAGCGUUAUCCGGAUUUAUUGGGUUUAAAGGGUGCGUAGGCGGAUUUUUAAGUCAGCGGUAAAAUGUCCGGGCUCAACCCGGGCCGGCCGUUGAAACUGGGGAUCUUGAGUGGGCGAGAAGUAUGCGGAAUGCGUGGUGUAGCGGUGAAAUGCUUAGAUAUCACGAAGAACUCCGAUUGCGAAGGCAGCUCACUGGACUGCAACUGACACUGAGGCUCGAAAGUGUGGGUAUCAAACAGGAUUAGAUACCCGAGUAGUC
rnacentral:rRNA from 1 species